rnacentral:RNase_MRP_RNA from 1 species
CAACCACGAGACGAAGUGAGUGGGUCAUAGUGGAUGCUUAAUUGCGUGACUAGACCCAGGAAAGUCCCCGGGCCCAUUACUGUAGAGAUGCAGGCUCGCAAACGAGAGUGAUCUUCGAGUCGAAGGGAUUAAACUUGCACUUGGUGCACAGGUGGGCUGAGACAUGCGUGGAGCCUUUAUCCCCUUCGCUGAAGCAAAUUUAGCCAAUUCAACACAGUUAUUCACUUGGUCCCUUGUGGAUUAACAGAACGGGGCUUACGAUUUCGUGGUU